CCCUUAGAUGUUCUGGGCCGCACGCGCGCUACACUGUUCGACGCAGCGAGUCUUAACCUUGACCGAAAGGUUUGGGUAAUCUUCAGCAAAGUCGAACGUGAUGGGGAUCGAUCAUUGCAAUUAUUGAUCGUGAACGAGGAAUUCCUAGUAAGUGCAAGUCAUCAGCUUGCGCUGAUUACGUCCCUGCCCUUUGUACACACCGCCCGUCGCUACUACCGAUUGAAUGGUUUAGUGAGAUCUCUGGAUUGACGCUGGCUAGGGGGCGACCCUUGGCCAGGCUGGCGAGAAACUGCUCAAACUUGAUCAUUUAGAGGAAGUAAAAGUCGUAACA
rnacentral:rRNA from 1 species